GAGUUUGAUCAUGGCUCAGGAUGAACGCACAAGACGUGCCUAACACAUGCAAAUCGAAUGAAAAUAAUUAAUUAUUGUUUUCAUGGUGAACGGGUGAGUAACACAUAAGAAUCAGCUUUUAGAUAAGGCAUAAAAGAGUAAUAUCUUGGUAAUUCCUUAUAUGCGCAGCAGUGCUUAAAAAGGGGAGUCCCGUCUAAAAACGAGCUUAUGCCUGAUUAGCUAGUUGGCGAGUUAAAAGCUCACCAAGGCGAAGAUCAGUAGCUGGCCUGAGAGGGCGGCCAGCCACAUUGGGACUGAGACACGGCCCAAACUCCUACGGGAGGCAGCAGUGGGGAAUCUUCUGCAAUGGGCGCAAGCCUGACAGAGCGGCGUCGUGUGAAGGAAGAAGGCCUGAAAUAGGUUGUAAACUUCUUUUACUGAGUAAUGAAUAAUGACAACGCAGUAAAAAAGUAUCGGCUAACUCCGUGCCAGCAGCCGCGGUAAUACGGGGGAUGCAAGCGUUAUCCGGAAUCACUGGGCGUAAAGCGUCUGUAGGUGGUUUAGUGUGUUCUUAGUUAAAUUAUGAAGCUUAACUUCAUGAAAAGUAAGAAAACUAUUAGACUUGAGUACGAUAGGGGUAAGAGGAAUUCUUCGAGAAGUAGUGAAAUGCGAAGAUACGAAGGAGAAGAUCAUAAGCGAAGGCUUCUUACUGGGUCGUAACUGACACUGAGAGACGAAAGCUAGGGGAGCGAAUGGGAUUAGAUACCCCAGUAGUUCUAGCUGUAAACGAUGGAUAUUCGGUGCCGGAAAUUUUAUUAGAACAUUUCGGUACCCCUAGCUAACGCGUUAAAUAUCCCGCCUGAGGAGUACGCUCGCAAGGGUGAAACUCAAAGAAUUGACGGGGGCUCGCACAAGCGGUGGAAGCAUGUGGUUUUAAUUCGAUGCAAAGCGAAGAACCUUACCAGGGCUUGUCAGUAUGUAUAAA
rnacentral:rRNA from 1 species